rnacentral:rRNA from 1 species
CCUGUCCCUUAAUUGAGGACUAGUAUGAACGGCUAAAUGAGGGCCCCCCUGUCUCCUGCGACCAAUCAAUGAAUUUGAUCCUUCAGUACAAAAGCUGAGAUACACACAUAAGACGAAAAGACCCUAUGGAGCUUUAAGCCAUUAUACUACCUAACCACAGCCCCCUUUCCACCCCCCCCUAGUAUAUACUUUCAGUUGGGGCAACUACGGAGCAAAACAAAAACUCCACGAACAAACGUCUAAUACACGCAGUAUUUCAGGCUGCCACGCCACACACCCCAGACCUUAGACCCAGUCUAACUGAGCAACGGACCAAGUUACCCUAGGGAUAACAGCGCCAUCUUCCCCCCAGAGCCCAUAUCCACGGGGAGGCUUACGACCUCGAUGUUGGAUCAGGACCCCCCGGCGGUGCAGCCGCUGCCAAAGGUUCGUUUGUUCAACGACUAACGUCCU